rnacentral:rRNA from 1 species
CAGUCGCCGCGGGAAUACGAAGGGGGCUAGCGUUGCUCGGAAUCACUGGGCGUAAAGGGUGCGUAGGCGGGUCUUUAAGUCAGGGGUGAAAUCCUGGAGCUCAACUCCAGAACUGCCUUUGAUACUGAAGAUCUUGAGUUCGGGAGAGGUGAGUGGAACUGCGAGUGUAGAGGUGAAAUUCGUAGAUAUUCGCAAGAACACCAGUGGCGAAGGCGGCUCACUGGCCCGAUACUGACGCUGAGGCACGAAAGCGGGGGGAGCAAAUGGGAUUAGAUACCCGCGUAGUCCCUGUCUCUUAUAA